UUAAGUUAUUAAGGGCGCACGGUGGAUGCCUUGGCACUAGAAGCCGAUGAAGGACGUUACUAACGACGAUAUGCUUUGGGGAGCUGUAAGUAAGCUUUGAUCCAGAGAUUUCCGAAUGGGGAAACCCAGCAUGAGUUAUGUCAUGUUAUCGAUAUGUGAAUACAUAGCAUAUCAGAAGGCACACCCGGAGAACUGAAACAUCUUAGUACCCGGAGGAAGAGAAAGAAAAUUCGAUUCCCUUAGUAGCGGCGAGCGAAACGGGAAGAGCCCAAACCAACAAGCUUGCUUGUUGGGGUUGUAGGACACUCUAUACGGAGUUACAAAGGACGACAUUAGACGAAUCAUCUGGAAAGAUGAAUCAAAGAAGGUAAUAAUCCUGUAGUCGAAAAUGUUGUCUCUCUUGAGUGGAUCCUGAGUACGACGGAGCACGUGAAAUUCCGUCGGAAUCUGGGAGGACCAUCUCCUAAGGCUAAAUACUCUCUAGUGACCGAUAGUGAACCAGUACCGUGAGGGAAAGGUGAAAAGCACCCCGGAAGGGGAGUGAAAUAGAACCUGAAACCGUGUGCUUACAAGUAGUCAGAGCCCGUUAAUGGGUGAUGGCGUGCCUUUUGUAGAAUGAACCGGCGAGUUACGAUUUGAUGCAAGGUUAAGCAGUAAAUGUGGAGCCGUAGCGAAAGCGAGUCUGAAUAGGGCGUUUAGUAUUUGGUCGUAGACCCGAAACCAGGUGAUCUACCCUUGGUCAGGUUGAAGUUCAGGUAACACUGAAUGGAGGACCGAACCGACUUACGUUGAAAAGUGAGCGGAUGAACUGAGGGUAGCGGAGAAAUUCCAAUCGAACCUGGAGAUAGCUGGUUCUCUCCGAAAUAGCUUUAGGGCUAGCCUCAAGUGAUGAUUAUUGGAGGUAGAGCACUGUUUGGACGAGGGGCCCCUCUCGGGUUACCGAAUUCAGACAAACUCCGAAUGCCAAUUAAUUUAACUUGGGAGUCAGAACAUGGGUGAUAAGGUCCGUGUUCGAAAGGGAAACAGCCCAGACCACCAGCUAAGGUCCCAAAAUAUAUGUUAAGUGGAAAAGGAUGUGGCGUUGCCCAGACAACUAGGAUGUUGGCUUAGAAGCAGCCAUCAUUUAAAGAGUGCGUAAUAGCUCACUAGUCGAGUGACACUGCGCCGAAAAUGUACCGGGGCUAAACAUAUUACCGAAGCUGUGGAUUGUCCUUUGGACAAUGGUAGGAGAGCGUUCUAAGGGCGUUGAAGCAUGAUCGUAAGGACAUGUGGAGCGCUUAGAAGUGAGAAUGCCGGUGUGAGUAGCGAAAGACGGGUGAGAAUCCCGUCCACCGAUUGACUAAGGUUUCCAGAGGAAGGCUCGUCCGCUCUGGGUUAGUCGGGUCCUAAGCUGAGGCCGACAGGCGUAGGCGAUGGAUAACAGGUUGAUAUUCCUGUACCACCUAUAAUCGUUUUAAUCGAUGGGGGGACGCAGUAGGAUAGGCGAAGCGUGCGAUUGGAUUGCACGUCUAAACAGUAAGGCUGAGUAUUAGGCAAAUCCGGUACUCGUUAAGGCUGAGCUGUGAUGGGGAGAAGACAUUGAGUCUUCGAGUCGUUGAUUUCACACUGCCGAGAAAAGCCUCUAGAUAGAAAAUAGGUGCCCGUACCGCAAACCGACACAGGUAGUCAAGAUGAGAAUUCUAAGGUGAGCGAGCGAACUCUCGUUAAGGAACUCGGCAAAAUGACCCCGUAACUUCGGGAGAAGGGGUGCUCUUUAGGGUUAACGCCCAGAAGAGCCGCAGUGAAUAGGCCCAAGCGACUGUUUAUCAAAAACACAGGUCUCUGCUAAACCGUAAGGUGAUGUAUAGGGGCUGACGCCUGCCCGGUGCUGGAAGGUUAAGAGGAGUGGUUAGCUUCUGCGAAGCUACGAAUCGAAGCCCCAGUAAACGGCGGCCGUAACUAUAACGGUCCUAAGGUAGCGAAAUUCCUUGUCGGGUAAGUUCCGACCCGCACGAAAGGCGUAACGAUUUGGGCACUGUCUCAACGAGAGACUCGGUGAAAUCAUAGUACCUGUGAAGAUGCAGGUUACCCGCGACAGGACGGAAAGACCCCGUGGAGCUUUACUGUAGCCUGAUAUUGAAAUUCGGCACAGCUUGUACAGGAUAGGUAGGAGCCUUUGAAACGUGAGCGCUAGCUUACGUGGAGGCGCUGGUGGGAUACUACCCUAGCUGUGUUGGCUUUCUAACCCGCACCACUUAUCGUGGUGGGAGACAGUGUCAGGCGGGCAGUUUGACUGGGGCGGUCGCCUCCUAAAAGGUAACGGAGGCGCUCAAAGGUUCCCUCAGAAUGGUUGGAAAUCAUUCAUAGAGUGUAAAGGCAUAAGGGAGCUUGACUGCGAGACCUACAAGUCGAGCAGGGUCGAAAGACGGACUUAGUGAUCCGGUGGUUCCGCAUGGAAGGGCCAUCGCUCAACGGAUAAAAGCUACCCCGGGGAUAACAGGCUUAUCUCCCCCAAGAGUUCACAUCGACGGGGAGGUUUGGCACCUCGAUGUCGGCUCAUCGCAUCCUGGGGCUGUAGUCGGUCCCAAGGGUUGGGCUGUUCGCCCAUUAAAGCGGUACGCGAGCUGGGUUCAGAACGUCGUGAGACAGUUCGGUCCCUAUCCGUCGUGGGCGUAGGAAAUUUGAGAGGAGCUGUCCUUAGUACGAGAGGACCGGGAUGGACAUACCUCUGGUGUACCAGUUGUCGUGCCAACGGCAUAGCUGGGUAGCUAUGUGUGGACGGGAUAAGUGCUGAAAGCAUCUAAGCAUGAAGCCCCCCUCAAGAUGAGAUUUCCCAACUUCGGUUAUAAGAUCCCUCAAAGAUGAUGAGGUUAAUAGGUUCGAGGUGGAAGCAUGGUGACAUGUGGAGCUGACGAAUACUAAUCGAUCGAAGACUUAAUCAA
rnacentral:rRNA from 1 species